rnacentral:misc_RNA from 1 species
UGGUGCGUGGGACUUUUGCAAACGUGCGCAUAAAGAAUCUGAUGGUGCCGGGCGUUGAAGGCGGCGUCACUAUUCAUCAACCUGACGGUGAGCGAGUCAGUAUCUACGAC